GAAUAUUGCGCAAUGGGGGAAACCCUGACGCAGCAACGCCGCGUGAGUGAGGAAGGUCUUCGGAUUGUAAAACUCUUUUAUUUGGGAAAAAUGGUCAUGGAGCUAAUACCCCAUGAUUUGAUGGUACCAAAGGAAUAAGCACCGGCUAACUUCGUGCCAGCAGCCGCGGUAAUACGAAGGGUGCAAGCGUUGUUCGGAAUCAUUGGGCGUAAAGCGCGCGCAGGCGGAUUGACAAGUCAGGUGUGAAAUCUCGGAGCUCAACUCCGAAACUGCGCCUGAAACUAUUAGUCUAGAAUGUCGGAGGGGGCAGGGGAAUUUCACGUGUAGGGGUAAAAUCCGUAGAGAUGUGAAGGAACACCGGAGGCGAAGGCGCCUGCCUGGACGACUAUUGACGCUGAGGCGCGAAAGCGUGGGGAGCAAA
rnacentral:rRNA from 1 species